UGGCUGCUGGGAGUGCAGCCUACCCAUUUAGUCCUGGCUGUGGCAGCAGACUGCAGGGCAGCCAACAGUUCUGACCUUGGCCUGCUUUGUGAGAAAAAGAGAGGGAAUUAAUACAAUAGAAAAUCUCCACCCAAGCAAAACUGAGCAAACUCUUCUUCAUAAAUGAUGUGACAAAUCUAGUCCUGCCACCGGAUUAUUUGUCUUAGAGAUUCUGUGGACAUCAGGGAUUUUGCUAUACAGAUCCUGCUUGAGAAAGAUGACCCAACAGCAGAAAUAGAUGUAACACAAGACAAAGAUGAUCCUAAGGUAGCAUCCAACAGAGCAUGCCUUUGUGGACAUCUGGGAGAGAUACUACAUCACA